rnacentral:snRNA from 1 species
AUUGUAUGAAAGCAAAUGUGUUAAAAUACACCCCACUAAAAUCUGUUCUUAUCAGUUUAAUAUCUGAUGCAUCCUCUAGCCAAGGACAGUAUUUUAAAUGGAUUUUUGGAACUAGGAGGUGGAAUAGGAGCUUGCUCCCUCCACUCCACACAUCGACCGGGUAUUGUAGUGCUUCCAGGACACUGCACCCUCG